rnacentral:rRNA from 1 species
ACCUGUUUGAUCAUGACAGUUUUAUAUGCUUCUCUAAAAGAUUAAGCCAUGCAAAUGUAAGAAAGUACUACUUGAAUUAGUAAAUCGGUGAAAGGCUCCGUAAAUCAGUUAUUGUUUAUUUGAAUGUGGAAACUAGAAACAGUUUCAAAUAUUUAGGUGGAUAAUUGUGGGAAAACUAGAAAUAAUACAUGCGAAAAGAGGAGACUGUGGCAACACGGAAUCCUUGCAUUAACUAGUUGUUUUCAAGAGGUGUACAUUACACUUUUGAUGAUGAACUACAGUUUACUAAAUAGCAGAUUGAUAAUCUUUUUUAUCAACGCUUCAUUCAAAUUUCUGCUUUAUCAAUUAACGUUGGUACGGUAUUGGCGUACCAUGGUUAUAACGAGUAAGGAAUUCUAUGGGAAUGAUUCCUGAGAUUUCGCCUGAGAAAUAGCGAAAAUAUCUAAGGAUAGCAGCAGGCGCGAAAAUUACCCAAUGCAAAAACUGCGAGGUAGUGACAAGAAAUAACGACAGGAUUAUUUCAGUUAUAAAAAUAACUGAAAACCUGAUUGCAAUGAGUACAAUUUAAAAAUAUUAAUUAGAAUCAAUUUGAGGGCAAGUUCUGGUGCCAGCAGCCGCGGUAAUUCCAGCUCAAAUAGUGUAUAUUAAAAUUGUUGUAAUUAAAAAGUUUGUAGUUUGAAGUUAUCACAAUUCAAUAAAAAUGGAUGGAAGUAACGAUUUAUUUCUGUCCAAUGAGUUGUGAUAUUAAGCGAACAAAGAAUCAUCUAUUCUCUGAAAGGAGGAUGGGUGAAAUCUAUUCUUUGUUCAUUUUACCAUAAAUAAAAUAGAGUGUUUAAAGCAUGUCAUUUAUUGACAAUUGAAUAAUUUAGUAUGGGAUAAUGAAAGACGAGAGAAAAAAGAGAGUACAUCUCGCAGCAUCAAGAUAGGGAAGAAUUGUAGAAUUACAAUUCUAAAUUGUUAAAAAUUUAAAGGUACUAAGAAAUGAGGAGUAGGGUUUUUUUACUCUACUUUCUCAUAAUAGUUGUCUUUCCCUGAAUUUUGUAAGAAAUUAAGAGUCUUUAGUCUUUGGGGGUAGUAUGCAUCGCAAGAUUGAAACUUAAAUGAAUUGACGGAAGAGCACCACCAGGUGUGGAAUAUGCGGUUUAAUUUGACCCAACACGGGGAAACUCACCAGGACAGGACAUAAUAAGGAUUGACAGAUUGAAAGCUCUUUCAUGAUUGUAUGGAAAGUGGUGCAUGGCCGAAGUUAGUUCGUGGUUUGAAUUGUCUGCUUAAUU